CUGGGUGUAUANCGAGCGCACGGGCUUUGUAAUCUGUGAGGUGAACCCCUUCGCCUCACCGGACGAAGUGCUUCGGAACCUGGGANNCUUGAGCGCAGAAGAGNNCAGUGGAUCUCCAUGUGUAGCGGUGAAAUGCGUAGAUAUAUGGAAGACCACCAGUGGUGAAGGCGGCUGUCUGGUCUGUAACUGACGCUGAGGCUCGAAAGUAUGGGUAGCAAUCAGGAUUAGAUACCAUGGUAGUCCAUACCGUAAACGAUGAAUGCUAAGUGUUGGAGGGUUUCCGCCCUUCAGUGCUGCAGCUAACGCAUUAAGCAUUCCGCCUGGGGAGUACGGCCGCAAGGCUGAAACUCAAAGGAAUUGACGGGGGCCCGCACAAGCGGUGGAGCAUGUGGUUUAAUUCGAAGCUACGCGAAGAACCUUACCAGGUCUUGACAUACUAUGCAAAUCUAAGAGAUUAGACGUUCCCUUCGGGGACAUGGAUACAGGUGGUGCAUGGUUGUCGUCAGCUCGUGUCGUGAGAUGUUGGGUUAAGUCCCGCAACGAGCGCAACCCUUAUUAUCAGUUGCCAGCAUUAAGUUGGGCACUCUGGUGAGACUGCCGGUGACAAACCGGAGGAAGGUGGGGAUGACGUCAAAUCAUCAUGCCCCUUAUGACCUGGGCUACACACGUGCUACAAUGGAUGGUACAACGAGUUGCGAACUCGCGAGAGUAAGCUAAUCU
rnacentral:rRNA from 1 species